rnacentral:sRNA from 1 species
AGGUGACAACUGUCUCUGUCGCAGGCUCCGGCGGGGGCGCAGGAGGUCGCCCGGCGCGUCACUGUCGGGUCGGCGAGCCACGGGGGCCGCCGCAGCACCAUGGCGACCACCGUCAGCACUCAGCGCGGGCCGGUGUACAUCGGUGAGCUCCCGCACGACUUCCUCCGCAUCACGCCCACACAGCAGCAGCGGCAGGUCCAGCUGGACGCCCAGGCGGCCCAGCAGCUGCAGUACGGAGGCGCAGUGGGCACCGUGGGCCGACUGAACAUCACGGUGGUACAGGUUUUACAGUUUUAGGUUUUAUAUUUGAACCUGCCAUCCAUGUUGAGUUUGUUUGCUGAACAAUCAUCUUACUUGCCACGGUCUUCUGUCUUAUUCUGAACACACGUUCACUCCCACCCCGAGGACCUCAAAUGUCCCCGCCCAGCUGAGCGCCUGGCCUGAAGUCGAAUCUCAUAGUCUACAUGUGAUGUGGCUCCUUGUGAUUGGGAGACACAAGAAAGACAAGUUCCAGUCCCCAAAACCCCACGUACUCCGAUAGCACAGGCAGGGCUGCUGCCU